ensembl:lncRNA
AUGGUGUUCCUCCAAGAGAUCCAUUUUGCCCUGAUAUGCAGUCUGGAGAUUUCACAGAAAAUCAAUAAAGCAGAACACUUUUUAAAAAAAAAUUGGAACAUGGUAGACCAUCUCGGACCACCAGCACACCAUCUGCUCAUAGAAACUCAAGGUGGUCAAGCUGGUUUUUGGAGUAGUAAUGACCAGCUAGAAACCAUCUACCAUGUUCCAAAACACAACCAUCAUCUUAAGCUGGAUUUUCCAGCAGGAAAUACACCCUCUGGUGUAACUUUCGGGCCUAAUGAUGGUGUAUUAUCAAAGGAUGUGUCAUACCAAGCUAUGACGGUUCUCUCUCAGGCUGCAAAAUAGACAACAAUAAGGACUGACUUUCUUCCUGGGGUAAUGGCAGAUCUCCUCCUGUCUCACCUGUGCUCCACUGAGAGAGGGUUAUGGUGUUGUAUGCCCCCCUAUUGCUUCACUGAUGCUAAAUUACUGCCAGAGAGAAAGAGAAACCCAGGCAGCGCUCACAGAACUCACAAAUCCUU